UUGCAGAACUCACUCUCAUAAAAAAAUUUCUUCUCGAAAGUGGAGACCUUUCAAUUAUUUUUCUCUGUCAUGAAAAUUUGAUUAUAAAUAGAAGGAGUGUGUGGGAGAAGGAUCAGUAAUAGAUCUCAUCCAAAGCCAGUGAAGGUGAAUGUUAUGCUGCUAAAAAGUUGUGGUGGUUUAGUUACAAUGUUGCUUCUUCUAAGUCAAUGUUAUGCUGAGUGAUUCAUCACACUUCAUAGCUUCAAACAUGGAUCGCUCAGAGGAAACAACACUUGUACCUAAACCACUUAACUUCACUCUUGUUGCUUUCUUCGUCUGUCUUCUAUGAAGUCUCAGUACCCUAAUUCAGUUUCGAUUCUUCCGAACAAGAGAGCCUUAAUGCUUUUGAAUUAUGUUUCGGGUGUAGGGGUCAAGCACAUGCAGUCAACACUUAAAUUACCUUUUUCUCUUCACUGCUUCCUUCUUAUGUAAUUCGUCGUAUCCUCCGUUCCGCCCAAUCUUCCUUCUUCCUUGAUCGGUCAGGCGGAUGAUCGGUGUACAUGUUUAAAAGGCUCUGCUCCGAUGCUUAAGUCAGUUAAGGCCGAUCGGUAGAUAAUUGUACCUGAUGUAAUAAAUGCGAACUAAAGAUUCUCACCCACCUACCUUGGGCUCCUAUUUAUAGUUUUCGAUGUGGGUCUGUGAUUAGGACUCCUUAAUCAUGGCCCAAUGGCUUUUUAAUUUUGAUUACUGACUUAUUUUAUCUUAAUUAAUUUGACUGACUGUCUGGUCCAGGUUCCCGUUUGGCCGACCAACCGAGGGUCGCACGGCCUGACGAAAGUUGCCCUUUAAAGGUGAGAGUCUCUAUGAAGAUGGAGACUAAGUUCAAAUGGAGAUGAAAGUGGAGGGAAUGUUUAGUCCGUCUGACCGAUGGGUAGCGGAUUUAGUGUGCUCAGAGCUGAGACUCCGAUAAGCUGGUCGCCUCAGCGUCUGCUACGAAGUUCGUCCGUAACGGGCAGUCUGUAGCCGUUUGACUUUGGUCCGCUGGGCCGAUCUGCCAAUGGACCGUACAGUACAAAUUCAUUGUAUUAAUUCCAUUAAUUUGCCUAAAUUUAUUUUAGGUAGAUUACUAAAUAUAUUAGAAGUUUUACAUCGACUAGAGAUAAAACAAUUUAUAAUGUAUAAGUGAGAUACAAAUCUUACCUUACAAAAUGAUUUUGUGAGAUUGAGUUAGACUUAAAGUCCACUUUUUAAUAAAAUAUAUCAUUUUGAACAAAUUGAAAUUGAGUUUAUAUUUUGUUUUAUUUAAACUAAGUAAAAAGUGGUCUUAUAGGUGAAGAAGAAGUGGAGAUUUGACAGCUUUUGGAAGGAAAAGAAGAUAAAGAAAAUUUAUUGAUAUAUCUCCCAGUAAAAUUAUGAUUUAUAUUCGAUUUAUCAUUGGAUCUGGCCAUGGCCGAAAAUUUGAUAGUAGUUUUAUAAUAUAUUAUUUUUCAUUUUAA